rnacentral:rRNA from 1 species
CCUACGGGAGGCAGCAGUGGGGAAUAUUGGACAAUGGGGGGAACCCUGAACCAGCGACGCCGCGUGAGUGAAGAAGUAUUUCGGUAUGGAAAGCUCUAUCAGCAGGGAAGAAAGAAAUGACGGUACCUGACUAAGAAGCCCCGGCUAACUACGUGCCAGCAGCCGCGGGAAUACGUAGGGGGGAAGCGAUAUCCGGAUUUCCUGGGUGUAAAGGGAGCGUAGACGGGAAUGCAAGUCUGAAGGGAAAGGCGGGGGCCCAACCCCUGGACUGCUUUGGAAACUGUAUGGCUGGAGUGCAGGAGAGGUAAGUGGAAUUCCUAGUGUAGCGGUGAAAUGCGUAGAUAUUAGGAGGAACACCGGUGGCGAAGGCGGCUUACUGGACUGUAACUGACGUUGAGGCUCGAAAGCGUGGGGAGCAAACAGGAUUAGAUACCCUAGUAGUC